GGCUUGUUGGUAUAGGGGUAUGAUUCUCGCUUUGGGUGCGAGAGGUCCUGGGUUCAAAUCCCGGAUGAGCCC
rnacentral:tRNA from 1 species